rnacentral:rRNA from 1 species
UACGUAGGGUGCGAGCGUUAAUCGGAAUUACUGGGCGUAAAGCGUGCGCAGGCGGUUGGCAAAGUCAGCUGUGAAAGCCCCGGGCUUAACCUGGGAAUGGCGGUUGAAACUAGUCGACUCGAAUCUGGCAGAGGGGGUGGAAUUCCGACGGUGUAGCAGGUGAAAUGCGUAGAGAAUGAUGGAGGAACACCGGAUGGCGGAAGGCAGCCCC